GCAGUCUUGGCCGAAUGGUUAAGCUAUCCGCUUUGUAAGCGGAAGAUCAUGGGUACGAUUCCCAUCUGCUGCA
rfam:Culex pipiens quinquefasciatus supercont3.4 genomic scaffold, whole genome shotgun sequence.